rnacentral:rRNA from 1 species
AUCUUCGGACCUCGCGCGAAUGGAGCGGCCGAUGGCAGAUUAGGUAGUUGGUGGGUAAAAGCCUCCAAGCCGACGAUCUGUAGCUGGUCUCGAGAGGACGACCAGCCACACUGGGACUGAGACACGGCCCAGACUCCUACGGGAGGCAGCAGUGGGGAAUUUUGGACAAUGGGCGCAAGCCUGAUCCAGCAAUGCCGCGUGCAGGAUGAAGGCCUUCGGGUUGUAAACUGCUUUUGUACGGAGCGAAAAGGUCCCUUCUAAUACAGGAGGCCCAUGACGGUACCGUAAGAAUAAGCACCGGCUAACUACGUG